UCGCCUGUUUAUCAAAAACAUAACUAUAUGUCAUUAUAUAUAGCUACUUCUGCUCCAUGAAUUAUUAAAUAGCCGCAGUACCCUGACUGUGCUAAGGUAGCAUAAUCAAUUGGCCCAUAAUUGGGGUCUGGAAUGAAAGAGAUAACGGAUAGUAACUGUCUUUGGAUCAAAUUAAAACUUAAUUAAAAAGUGCAAAUACUUUUAUAAAUAUAUAAGACGAGAAGACCCUAGAACUUUUAAAUUAAUUUUGUUGGGGCGACACUUAAGCAAUAGAUAACCUUAGGAUAUAGAUCCAAAGCUUAAUUAAGCAUUUAAAAUAAAGUACUCUAGGGAUAACAGCAUAAUUUCAGAGAAGUUUGUGACCUCGAUGUUGGACUAGGGAAUUUCUAGUUUAGAAGACUAGUGAACGGGCUCUGUUCGAGCUAAUAUAAUCCUACCUGAUCUGGAUUCAGACCGG
rnacentral:rRNA from 1 species